CUGGGAUCGGGACUCGUUGGAGAGCGCCUUGUGGCUGGGUUGCUCCUCGUGGGAUACAAGCCCGUACGAGAGAUGCGAGGUUUUGAGUCGGACCAGCUUGCAGGAAGAUACUUCGGUAAUCGUGAGCUCUGCAGAUCAGAGACACCAGAGCUCUCAAAGCACUGACACAAUAUGGAGUAUCUGGAGAAAGCAUCUUGUUUCCGUGCCUCUUUGGCUCAUCUGGAACCUUGAAGAUCUUCUGUAGGAAAACCUGUGAAGGAGAUAACCUCUUCAUUAAAACAAGUGAUAACACAACUGAGAGUGGCCGAUACAGAAUUAAAUACAUUAAAGAAGCUUCUAGAACAUACUCAGUUCUGUCUGUGAGCAUCUCAGAGCUGACCCCGUCCGAUUCAGGACUGUACAGAUGUGGUUUGGGUGAAUCCUUACCAUCAGCUUCAUACCAGGAUGUCAGACUCGUUGUUGUGGACGCUCUACUGGAUGGAAACAAAGAUCAUCACUUAUAUAAAGAACCUGGCGGCUCGCUCACAGUCGCCUGUUCCUUUGAACGCUCUGGAAGAAAGCGACUGUUCUGCAGAGGAGCAUGUGGAACAGAUGAAGUUCUUAUUCAGACAGAUGGUGUCAGAGCUGAAAGAGGCAGAUACAGGAUAGAAUAUGAUGCCGGACCAACCUCAGAAGGAGUUCUGUUGGUGACCAUCACACAGUUGACCCAGUCUGACUCAGGACGGUACCAAUGUAAGAUGGAUAGAACCAUUUUAAAAGAUUUAUACAGAGAUUUCAUCGUC